UGGGGAAUAUUGCACAAUGGGGGAAACCCUGAUGCAGCAACGCCGCGUGAGUGAUGACGGUCUUCGGAUUGUAAAGCUCUGUCUUCAGGGACGAUAAUGACGGUACCUGAGGAGGAAGCCACGGCUAACUACGUGCCAGCAGCCGCGGUAAUACGUAGGUGGCAAGCGUUGUCCGGAUUUACUGGGCGUAAAGGGAGCGUAGGUGGAUAUUUAAGUGAGAUGUGAAAUUCCCGAGCUUAACUUGGGAGCUGCAUUUCAAACUGGGAAUCUAGAGUGCGGGAGAGGAAAGUGGAAUUCCUAGUGUAGCGGUGAAAUGCGUAGAGAUUAGGAAGAACACCAGUGGCGAAGGCGACUUUCUGGACCGUAACUGACGCUGAGGCAUGAAAGCGUGGGUAGCAAACA
rnacentral:rRNA from 1 species